AUUGAACGCUGGCGGCAGGCUUAACACAUGCAAGUCGAACGAGUGGCGGACGGGUGAGUAAUGCUUGGGAAUCUAGCUUAUGGAGGGGGAUAACUAUGGGAAACUGUAGCUAAUACCGCGUACCAUAGGAUGAGCCCAAGUGGGAUUAGGUAGUUGGUGAUGUAAAGGCUCACCAAGCCGACGAUCUCUAGCUGGUCUGAGAGGAUGACCAGCCACACUGGGACUGAGACACGGCCCAGACUCCGACGGGGGGCAGCAGUGGGGAAUAUGGCGCAAGGGGGGCAAGCUGAGGCAGCCAUACCGCGUGAAGGAAGAAGGACUUCGGGUUGUAGAGUUCUUUCGGUAGCGAGGCGUUAACUACAGAAGAAGCACCGGCUAACUCCGUGCCAGCAGCCGCGGUAAUAC
rnacentral:rRNA from 1 species